rnacentral:rRNA from 1 species
GACGAACGCUGGCGGCGUGCUUAACACAUGCAAGUCGAACGAAGUGGCGAACGGGUGAGUAACGCGUAAUCAACCUGCCCUUCAGAGGGGGACAACAGUUGGAAACGACUGCUAAUACCGCAUACUGAAGGAGGGGAUUGCGUCUGAUUAGAUAGUUGGAGGGGUAACGGCCCACCACGGCGAUGAUCAGGAGCCGGUCUGAGAGGAUGAACGGCCAAAGUGUGAAUGAGACACGGCCCAGACUCCUAAGGGAGGCAGCAGUUGGGAAUGUUCCUCAAUGGACGAAAGGCUGACGGAGCAACGCCGGGUGAGUGAUGACGGCCUUCGGGUUGUAAAGCUCUUUUAAUCGGGACGCGGUACCGGAAUAGAAAGCCACGGCUAACUACGUGCCAGCAGCCGCGGUAAUAC